rnacentral:lncRNA from 1 species
UACGCCUGAGUUUCCUGUCUAUAACGCAGGAGUGGGGUCUGCCCACUGUGACAUUUCCUCCUUUUAUAACAUGGCUGGGGCAGUCCUUCCAAGAGGGCUGACCGAGGUGUGGACCGCUCAGCCCGGCGGGGUCCACGGGGCUCUGCAGCGAGCCUGACCACGGGGUCCAGAGGGAGGACGGUGGCAGCCAGAGGGAUGGAGGGGAUACAGGGAAAAGCGGCGCUGAAAAGCCAAGUUCGAGUUUCCCAGGCUGGAAAGGACGGAGCAGCUACUGGAGUUGACACCAUCUGCAUCCACCAUCCUGACCCUGUGGACCUCACGCUGGACAUGGAGUGGCUCUACUGAGAGCUGAGCCACCAGCCCCAUGGUGUCGCCCGGCUUGCACAGGGACUGUCUCUGUGGUGAGCACAUGGUAGGGACAGGGGUCUCCUCCUGCACCCCAGAUGGAUUCUUCUCUUGGUGCUCUGAGCUCUGGCCAUAGCAUACAUCCACGUCUGCUUCUAGAGUUCUCUCUCCUCACUCUUCUUUUCCUUGUGAGGUCCCUCUUCCCCACCGAGGCCUACGUCACAGAGAGAGAGAGAUGGAAAGUCAGAGAAAGGUUAUAGGAGGCACCGCCAACUGUCUGGAGGGACACAACCUCCUGAUGGCAUCUGUUCGGUCCAGCCCCUCCCUCCCUUCCUUAACCCUUUCAAACCUCCCGCCUCGCUCUUACCUGCUCUCUGCAGUCACACCAGACCAGCCUUGACCUGCCUCCCCAGUGUUCCCCUUCAGGUUCUGUGACUUCUACACCCUCCUUGAGAACCCCAGAGGCUCCAGUCUCCUCCACCUCUACAGAAAGAGCCUUCUCUCCGUGUCUCCUUCCGUCCCACCUCCACAUCGCCAAGCUUAGCGAUGAGAAGGACCAGAGAGCACACACAGCGCCUGCAGGUGAGCUGGAUGACUGCUUCUGGAGGAUGCCCAAGUGAUGGAGCAGUCGCCUCGGUUCUCCUUCCUGUGACCUCUCAGCAUCCAGCACACCAGCCUCGGCUCGUUCAUGUGGUCACAGAGCUCCCAGAGGGCAAGCCCCAGCACACAGCACUUUUCCAGCCUCUGCUCACCACAUCAGGUUUCUCUCGUCCCUUUGACCAAGACAAGUCAUGGCCAAGCCGGAGUCACAGGGUGGAGGUGGCCUCCCCACCUUGGUGGCAGGGGCUGCAACACCACGUUGGAGGCGUGGCUGCAGGGAGUCUCUGGCCCUGCGCUGUCCGCUCACCCUUAACUUCACCAUCACAACCUGCGCUGCGUGGAGGACAUGCAGCCACGGCGCUCGGAGGAGUUCAACAAAAUAGAGAAGGUUUUGCAGCUCCUGCUCAGGCCCUUGUCAAGAACGCCAGUGUCAGCCCAUCUGCACCAGCUGCAGGCUGACCUCGCUCAGGUGGGACCUCCAGAGAAGAUGGCCCAGCGAGACCUAGUGGAAAUUCUUACCCACAGUCCCCCAGGGCCGAGUCCUCCCCUUGGCCUCAGCCCUUUCCUGCAGCCCAUCUAGGACAGCCACUGGCCCCCAGGCUCUGCUCUGGACUUUCCCAUCCUCCUGAGCCUCUAAUCUCCCACACAGUAUUUACUAGGAACAAAAUGACAAAAUGUAGCAACUGAAAACUAUGCAGCAGAUUCAUCCAUCAAGGAUGCAGCCCCAUUCUUCACAAAGGCUGGACCUGCAGCCUGUAGUGCCUUCAUCCCCACACCGCAUGUGACCAUUUCUGAAGGCUGACAUGCAGCAAGCACUCAGGCUGUGUCAGACAUUGGGGUGCUUGAUACAUGAUCACAGGUGACGUUCUGGGCUAGUUUUCUGGGGCUGUCGUAACAAAACGUCACAGACUGGGAGCUCAAACAACAGAAACUUAUUCUUACUGUCUGGAGGCUGGAGUCCAAGGUCAAGGGGCAGGCAGGUGAGUUUCCUCUGAGGCCCCUCUCCUGGGCUCACAGAUGCCGCCCCGCUGCUGUCUCUUCACGUGGUCGUCCCUCUGCACAUGCAUUCCUGGUGCCUCUCUGUGUGUCCUUGUCUCCUCUUCUCAGAAGGACAUCAGUCAGAGUGGACUGGUGCCUGCCCCAUGGGCUCAGUGUAACUUGAUCACCUCUUUAAAGGCCCCUUCUCCAAAUAUGGUCACAUUCUGAGGUCCUGGGAAUGAGGACCUCAACACAUGACUUUUGGGGGAAGACACGUUCAUCCCAAAACACAUCCACUCUCUCCUUUAAUUGUUAGUACAACCAUCUAACUUAGCUUCAUUUUACAGAUGAGGAAACUCAGGCUCAGAGAGGCUACCAAGCCACACAGCCAAUAAAUAAUAGAACCCAGAGUUCCUCUCACUCCAAAACUCCUGGUCCCCUUCUCCACCUUGUUUGUCAUCAGUUGAUUUAUUCCAAAAGACAUGCUUGAUUUUUGGUUUGCUUAGUAUGUUCAAGCUCACGGGCCAAACUCCCUUUGCGUCCCCAGCAAACUUGGUGAUGAGAGCCUUGUAGGUUUUCAAGAAUUAAUUGCCCUUGCAUUAGGGGUCUGUUUUCUCAACCCCCUCAGACUGUCCUUGGUCCAGCAUCACUGGUCCUUUACACCAAAGCAUCUUUCCUCACUCUUUCAAACCAUGGCAGGGUCCUGGGCUCCUGGGAUGGGCAAAAAUUCAUGAGAAUAAUAACUUUAUCUUUUCAUGCAUUUCCUUUUUAACUGCUCUUUGAAUAGCUCUUGUGCUUAUACAACAGAACUGCAAUGUCAUGCAUACUUAGUUUCAGUUUGUGAAACUGAAUUGUACGUUUAUAAUUAUCAGGAGAAAAUUAUAUUUAAAUAUUAUUAAUUCAAGAGCUCUUCGUUGUAAGGAGCUGUCCUGUGCAUUGUAGGCUGUUUAGCAGCAUCCCUGGCCUCGAUCCACC